ACACGUAGGGGGCGAGCGUUGUCCGGAAUUACUGGGCGUAAAGGGCGCGUAGGCGGCCUAAUAAGUCAGAUGUGAAAAUCCUGGGCUUAACUUAGGGCUUGCAUUUGAAACUGUUGGGCUUGAGGACAGGAGAGGAAAGCGGAAUUCCCAGUGUAGCGGUGAAAUGCGUAGAUAUUGGGAGGAACACCAGUGGCGAAGGCGGCUUUCUGGACUGCACCUGACGCUGAGGCGCGAAAGCCAGGGGAGCGAACGGGAUUAGAUACCCCGGUAGUCCUGGCCGUAAACGAUGGAUACUAGGUGUGGGAGGUAUCGACCCCUUCCGUGCCGGAGCAAACGCAAUAAGUAUCCCGCCUGGGGAGUACGGCCGCAAGGCUGAA
rnacentral:rRNA from 1 species